rnacentral:rRNA from 1 species
UCGUGGAGCGAUUUGUCUGGUUAAUUCCGAUAACGAACGAGACUCUAGCCUGCUAAAUAAGUUCGCCGGUCUCUGUGCUAUGCCGGUGCGACGACUUCUUAGAGGGACAAGUGGCGUUUAGCCACGCGAGAUUGAGCAAUAACA